rnacentral:rRNA from 1 species
AUUGAACGCUGGCGGCAUGCUUUACACAUGCAAGUCGAACGGUAACAGGCCGCAAGGUGCUGACGAGUGGCGAACGGGUGAGUAAUGCAUCGGAACGUGCCCAGUCGUGGGGGAUAACUACUCGAAAGAGUAGCUAAUAACGCAUACGAUCUAUGGAUGAAAGCGGGGGACCGUAAGGCCUCGCGCGAUUGGAGCGGCCGAUGUCAGAUUAGGUAGUUGGUGGGGUAAAGGCUCACCAAGCCAACGAUCUGUAGCUGGUCUGAGAGGACGACCAGCCACACUGGGACUGAGACACGGCCCAGACUCCGACGGGGGGCAGCAGUGGGGAAUUUUGGACAAUGGGCGCAAGCCUGAUCCAGCAAUGCCGCGUGCAGGAAGAAGGCCUUCGGGUUGUAAACUGCUUUUGUACGGAACGAAACGGCUCUGGUUAAUACCCGGGGCUAAUGACGGUACCGUAAGAAUAAGCACCGGCUAACUACGUG